AGCAUCGAUUUCAGGGAGAGACUCAGGGAUGUUGCGCGCAUCAUUUUAAUGAAUUAUAAAUGUGGGCACCAAAUUAACCACCGCAAUGCUAAUACGUUAUCGGGUGCCUAUCUGUCAGGAUUCACGAAAACAGUCGAUUUGUGCAGGUUCCGUAUAAAAGAAUAAAUAGGGUAUUAACAAACAUCGCGUGAAUAGGGUUAAUCAAACUGCUCAUUUUCAAUCUUCGCGUGAGAAUUUGGGUUAUAAUAUCGCUGGCUUUGGUCCUUAUAGAGUGUCAACAAAUCUGAUAUUAGCAGUUGUGCGCUUGGUUUCAAAUAUGUCGGUUUGCCUACCCAACUUGGCCCUUUUAAGCAGCACACUCAAUGUAGGAGUAACGCAACGAAGUAUGUCGCAGAAAGGUAAACCUACUAUCGUUGAAAUUAUUUUGUUCGCUGAUUUUUAAAUAGUGGAUUUGGAGCUUAUAGUUUCGCUAACGCCUGAUGUGAGGCUCGAACUCAGCAUCAUUUAAGACAGAUACCCUCAGCGCAGUCAGGAGUGGCCACACGUCACUUAUCUCAUUAGAAUCUUGAGGUCGCCUGAUCCUUAACAGCAAUCGUUGUCGGCUGCGCUCGGAUCAGGCGGACUUCGCCUGAUCCUUCUUGGAUCUCGGAGUUUAGCUAGAUGGUGUUAGAUAGAUCAGAGGUGGAAUGGGUGAUCAACAUACACCUAAACAAAGGAGAUGAUUUGUGUCGCUUGAAGGACCCUUGAGAGCAUGGAUAGCUUAUAUUACUUGAUACAAAACGCACAGUUCAAAUCAUACGGGGUUAUUUAAUUAAUUCCCCGGCUCUACUGUAUUUGGUCUGUCAUGAAAUAAUUAAAUAAGUCGGCGGGAUGACCUUUAAAUUCAAAUCAGCAAUGCCGGGUUUACAGGGUAUGAGAUGAUAAAAUGUCACCCUGCCUGCGACCAGCAGCUGGCUCUUUUGAGACAUCUUCAUGGAUGGCUUUGAUGUGAUUAAUUUUCUUAUUGACAUUCCAAAGAAAAUCCUUUUUUCCGGUGUCUGUCUGGUGCUUUUAACAAUACAGCUGUCAAUCCUAGUCUAUGAUAUCACACUUUUUAAAGUGGCAAAGAGCCUGGAAAAUGCAACUCAACAUUAUCUACACCUUGUGAUGGUAUCACAUGUUGUAAGCAUUUUUCUUUCAAUGUUGGCCACCUUAUAUGCUUUUCAGUCAGAUGACAGGAAAUUUAGGGUCAUUGCCCUCACACUGCACUGUCUGAACUUCAUUGUAUGGAUUGGAAGACUCUGGUUUGAAGCUAAUGUCAUACACCUCAAGCCUCGGAUGUAUUCAUUCACUUAAUGGUUUACUUGCUGAAAACAAAGAGUUGUCCAUCAGUAGCAGUCAGAUCAGUCCUGGUGAAGGGAGGCAUUGUACUUCUAAUAUUAGCAGAUCAAGUGUUCUGUACAAGCUUGGCGUUUGUAAUCAUUCUCAUCAAAGCAGCAGAUCUUGAAAACAGGCAGUUCCAGAUUAACCAGAAUUAAGCAACCACCUCCUCUUGGCAGAAGUAAUUUAUCAACCCCAAAUAAUAAAAUAUUUUAAUGUUGUUUUAUUUAUAUAUGCAUAUACAUAAUUUAUUAAUUUUAUAUGUAAAUAAAAAUCCUAAGGCCCCUGUGGGGUAUGUAAACA